rnacentral:rRNA from 1 species
CCUACGGGGGGCAGCAGUGAGGAAUAUUGGUCAAUGGGCGGGAGCCUGAACCAGCCAAGUCGCGUGAGGGAAGACGGUCCUAUGGAUUGUAAACCCCUUUUGUCGGGGAGCAAAGAGACCACGUGUGGUCAAAAGCGAGAGUACCCGAAGAAAAAGCAUCGGCUAACUCCGUGCCAGCAGCCGCGGUAAUACGGAGGAUGCGGGCGUUAUCCGGAUUUAUUGGGUUUAAAGGGUGCGUAGGCGGGACGGUAAGUCAGCGGUAAAAAUGCGGAGCUCAACUCCGUCGAGCCGUUGAAACUGUAGUU